rfam:Gossypium arboreum cultivar AKA8401 contig_83473_1, whole genome shotgun sequence.
UGUUAAAAUUUUUUAUCAAGUUCUACUAUUAAAAACUAGUAUAAUUAAUAAAAAAACCAGAUCAUUACACGUGGCAUUCCAUGUGUACAUCAUUUUAACGUACAAGAACUAGUUUUUAACAAUAGAAAUGGAUGAAAUUUUUAACA